UUCAACUGGAAGCCAGUGGAGAGAGCGGAGGAGCGGGGUGACGUGAGAGAACUUGGGAAGGUUGAACACCAGACGGGCAGCGGCGUUCUGGAUGAGUUGUAGGGGUUUAAUGGCACAGGCAGGGAGCCCAGCCAACAGCGAGUUGCAGUAAUCCAGACGGGAGAUGACAAGUGCCUGGAUUAGGACCUGCGCUGCUUCCUGUGUGAGGCAGGGUCGUACUCUGCGGAUGUUGUAGAGCAUGAACCUACAAGAACGGGCCACCGCCUUGAUGUUAGUUGAGAACGACAGGGUGUUGUCCAGGAUCACGCCAAGGUUCUUAGCGCUCUGGGUUGAGGUCGGGUGACUGUGGAGGCCAGGUCAUCUGAUGCAGCACUCCAUCACUCUCCUUCUUGGUCAAAUAGCCCUUACACAGGCUGGAGGUUUGUUGGGUCAUUUUUCUCUUGAAAACAAAUGAUCGUCCCACUAAGCGGGAUGGGGUAUUGCUGCAGAAAGCUGUGGUAGCCAUGCUGGUUAAGUGUGCCUUGAAUUCUAAAUAAAUCAUCGACAGUGUCACCAGCAAAGCAACCCCUCACCAGCACACCUCCUCCUCAAUGCUUCACGGUGGGAACCACACAUGCAGAGAUCAUCCGUUCACCUACUUUGCGUCUCACAAAUACACGGCGGUUGGAGCAGAAAUCUCAAAUUUGAACUUAUCAGAACUUAUGGUCAGUCGAUUUCCACCGGUCUAAUGUCCAUUGCUUGUGUUUCUUGGCCCAAGCAAGUCUCUUUUUAUUGGUGUCCUUUAGAUGUGGUUUCUUUGCAGCAAAUCGACCAUGAAGGCCUGUUUCAAGCAGUCUCCUCUGAACAGUUGAUGUUAAGAUGUGUCUGUUAUUUGAACCCUUUGAAGCAUUUACUUGGGCUGCAAGUUCUGAGGCUGGUAACUCUAAUAAACAUAUCCUCUGCAGCAGAGGUAACCCUGGGUCUUCCUUUCCUGUGGAGGCCUUCAUGAGAGCCAGUUCAUCAUAUCGCUUGACGGUUUUUACGACUGCACUUGAAGAAACUUUCAAAGUUCUUGAAAUGUUCCUGAAUUGACUGACCUGUAUGUCUUAAAGUAAUGAUGGACUGUCGUUUCUCUUUGCUUAUUUGAGCUGUACUUGCCAUAAUAUGGACUAUCUUCUGUAUAUCACCCCUACCUUGUCACAACACAACUGAUUGGCUCAAAGAAAUUCCCCAAAUGAACUUUUAACAAGUCAAACCUGUUAAUUUAAAUGCAUUCCAGGUGACUACGUCAUGAAGCUGGUUGAGAGAAUGCCAAGUGUGUGCAAAGCUGUCAUCAAGACAAAGGUUGGCUACUUUUUAACACUUUUUUGGGUACUACAGGACUGUGUUAUUUUGUAGUUUUGAUGUCUUCACUAUUAUUCUACAAUGUAAACAAUAAUAAAAAAUAAAGAAAAACCCUUGAAUGAGUAAGUGUGUCCAAACUUUUGACUGGUGCUGUAUAUACUACAGAUAUGAUUUUUUUUAAACAGGAUGUUUUAUUUUGUGGCAUACAUAACAAAUGUGUAAUUAUGAACAACAUGUAAAUUAUACAUGUAUGACAUAAAAAAUGUAAUACAUUAUUAUUAACCAGAUAUUACUAUGUUAAAAACAAAGAUAAUAUAUUGUACCUAUUAUUAAAAUAGCAUAUGUCUGUAUGUAUUAAUGCAUUUAAAGUGUGUGUGUUUCAAAAGAACUGACAUCUUCGGCUGUCAUUAUGUGCGGUACGGCAUUGUUUUCUGAUCAGGAAACAUUUACUUUGUCAUGUUUUACUGCUGCAAAACCUUCUGGGGCGAAACAUUUAGGUAACACUUUAUUUGGACAGUCCCAAGUAGAUGGGUUGUAGAUGGUCAGUCGAUGUUCAAAAACUAACAAAAACAUUUCAACUAACUAUCCACUAACCUUAACCCUUAUCCUAACACUAAACCUUAGCCUAGCCCUAACCUUAACCCUAACCCUUAUUCUAAACCUAAUCAUAAACGUAACCUUAGCAGACAUUUGCUUAUCAACAGCUACUUAGUUGAUACUAUCACCAUCUGUAGUUCAUCUAUAUGGGACUAUACAAAUAAAGUGUGGCCAACAAUUAUAAAGAAAAACUGGGAUAAUGGGACAAAACUACCAAUUAUAUAGACAUUGUGUAAGAAUUAUUUGGUCUUUGUGUGCUACUACAGAGUUGAAAAAAAAAAUAGUUGUAAUGCUUUUGAUGUGAUGAUUUUUGAUUAAAUUAAUCAGUUAGGUAAUUAAGGAUACAUAAUUAUUACCUGUUUGUUGCUUGUUUGUGAAAGAUCUGAUGUAGAUGUGGCGGACUUUAUCGGGAGAUGGUCAAUAAAGGAAAAGCUGUGCAUCCAAAAAAGAACCUGGCGAAGGCAGAGGACAAGCGGGAGCCAAAGGAGUGCUUCUUGUGUUUCUCUGUAGCAGCUGAAACUACAGUACAGAUCAACAAGAGAUCAGUGCUCUGACAGGCCUGUAAUAGCUGCUGUCACCUGUAUUUAAAUGGUACACAGCUUAACACAUUUCACCACAAUGGAUUUAACUGAUUUCCACACAAAAUUCAAAGGUAACCUGUGAAGUAAGCAUUUGUGAUGUUAGGAAAAAUUACCAGGCAGGGGUGCCACUGAAUUAUUGAAGUUCUUUCCUUUACGAGGAUUGGAAUAUUUCUUCUGGCUUUUGUUCUGAAAGCUUGCUGUCUUUGAUAGAGUUGCAGGCACCUUACGCUGCUGUUAACCGCAGACAUCCACUUGUUUGCGAUAAUGUAUUUCUCUAAUCAAUUAAUUGAAAUAAAGAUACUUAAUUUUAAUGUA